rnacentral:rRNA from 1 species
UGGGGGAUAUUGCACAAUGGGGGAAACCCUGAUGCAGCGACGCCGCGUGUAGGAAGACGGUCCUCUGGAUUGUAAACUACUGUCUUCGGGGACGAUAAUGACGGUACCCGAGGAGGAAGCUCCGGCUAACUACGUGCCAGCAGCCGCGGUAAUACGAAGGGGGCAAGCGUUGUUCGGAAUUACUGGGCGUAAAGGGAGUGUAGGCGGUUUGAUAAGAUAGGGGUGAAAUCCCAGAGCUCAACUCUGGAACUGCCUUUAUAACUAUCAGGCUUGAAUUAUAGAGAGAAUAGUGGAAUACCCAGUGUAGAGGUGAAAUUCGUAGAUAUUGGGUAGAACACCAGUGGCGAAGGCGACUAUCUGGCUAUAUAUUGACGCUGAGGCUCGAAAGCAUGGGGAGCAAACA